AGCGAACGCUGGCGGCAGGCCUAACACAUGCAAGUCGAACGAACCUUUCGGGGGUAGUGGCGGACGGGGGUGUAACACGUGGGAACGUGCCUUUAGGUUCGGAAUAACUCAGGGAAACUUGUGCUAAUACCGAAUGUGCCCUUCGGGGGAAUGAUUUAUCGCAUUUAGUGCGGCCCGCGUCUGAUUAGCUAGUUGGGUGAGGUAAUGGCUCACCAACGCGACGAUCAGUAGAUGGUCUGAGAGGAUGGUCAGCCACAUUGGGACUGUGACACAGCUCAAACUCCUACGGGAGGCAGCAGUGGGGAAUCUUGCGCAAUGGGCGAAAGCCUGACGCAGCCAUGCCGCGUGAAUGAUGAAGGUCUUAGGAUUGUAAAAUUCUUUCACCGGGGACGAUAAUGACGGUACCCGGAGAAGAAGCCCCGGCUAACUUCGUG
rnacentral:rRNA from 1 species